UAGGAACCAAAAACUCUUGGUGCAAAUCCAAGUAGCAGCU
rnacentral:tRNA from 1 species